UGGGGAAUUUUCCGCAAUGGGGGGAACCCUGACGGAGCAACGCCGCGUGCGGGAGGAAGGCCUGUGGGUUGUAAACCGCUUUUCUCUGGGAAGAAGUUUUGACGGUACCAGAGGAAUCAGCAUCGGCUAACUCCGUGCCAGCAGCCGCGGUAAGACGGAGGAUGCAAGCGUUAUCCGGAAUUAUUGGGCGUAAAGCGUCCGUAGGCGGUGAUUUAAGUCAGUUGUUAAAGACUGCAGCUCAACUGUGGGAGAGCAACUGAAACUGAGUGACUAGAGUGCGGUAGGGGUAGAGGGAAUUCCCAGUGUAGCGGUGAAAUGCGUAGAUAUUGGGAAGAACACCAGUGGCGAAGGCGCUCUACUGGGCCGCAACUGACGCUGAGGGACGAAAGCUAGGGGAGUGAAAGGGAUUAGAUACCCCCGUAGUCC
rnacentral:rRNA from 1 species